UACAGAGGGGGCAAGCGUUGUUCGGAAUUACUGGGCGUAAAGGGCGCGUAGGCGGCCUGUGCAAGUCAGUUGUGAAAUCUCCGGGCUUAACUCGGAACGGUCAACUGAUACUGCUCGGCUAGAGUGCGGAAGGGGCAACUGGAAUUCUUGGUGUAGCGGUGAAAUGCGUAGAUAUCAAGAGGAACACCUGCGGCGAAGGCGGGUUGCUGGGCCGACACUGACGCUGAAGUGCGAAAGCUAGGGGAGCGAACGGG
rnacentral:rRNA from 1 species